UACGGGGGGGGCAAGCGGUUGUUCGGAAUUACUGGGCGUAAAGGGCUCGUAGGCGGCCAACUAAGUCGGAUGUGAAAUCCCCAGGCCUUAACCUGGGAACUGCAUCCGAUACUGGAUGGCUUGAAUCCGGGAGAGGGAUGCAGAAUUCCAGGUGUAGCGGUGAAAUGCGUAGAUAUCUGGAGGAAUACCGGUGGCGAAGGCGGCAUCCUGGACCGGCAUUGACGCUGAUGAGCGAAAGCUAGGGGAGCAAACGGGG
rnacentral:rRNA from 1 species